rnacentral:rRNA from 1 species
GACGAACGCUGGCGGCGUGCUUAACACGUGCAAGUCGAACGGAAAGGCCCUGCUUUUGUGGGGUGCUCGAGUGGCGAACGGGUGCGUAACACGUGAGUAACCUGCCCUUCACUUUGGGAUAACUUCAGGAAACUGGGGCUAAUACCGUAUAGGAGCUCCUGCUGCAUGGUGGGGGGUGGAAAGUUUCGGCGGUUGGGGAUGGACUCGCGGCUUAUCAGCUUGUUGGUUGGGUAGUGGCUUACCAAGGCUUUGACUGGUCGCCGGCCUGAGAGGGUGACCGGCCUCCAUGGGACUGAGAUACGGACCAGAGUCCUACGGGAGGCAGCAGUGGGGAAUAUUGCACAAUGGGCGGAAGCCUGAUGCAGCAACGCCGCGUGCGGGAUGACGGCCUUCGGGUUGUAAACCGCUUUAGCCUGUGACGAAGCGUGAGUGACGGUAAUGGGUAAAGAAGCACCGGCUAACUACGUG